CCAGACUCCUACGGGAGGCAGCAGUGAGGAAUAUUGGUCAAUGGUCGGGAGACUGAACCAGCCAAGCCGCGUGAGGGAGGAAGGUACAGAGUAUCGUAAACCUCUUUUGUCAGGGGACAAAGACUGGGACGCGUCCCCGGAUGAGUGUACCUGAAGAAAAAGCAUCGGCUAACUCCGUGCCAGCAGCCGCGGUAAUACGGAGGAUGCGAGCGUUAUCCGGAUUUAUUGGGUUUAAAGGGUGCGCAGGCGGUCUGUUAAGUCAGCGGUCAAAUUGCGGGGCUCAACCCCGUACUGCCGUUGAAACUGCAUCCCUUGAGUGCGCGAGAAGUAUGCGGAAUGCGUGGUGUAGCGGUGAAAUGCAUAGAUAUCACGCAGAACUCCGAUUGCGAAGGCAGCAUACCGGCGCGCAACUGACGCUCAUGCACGAAGGCGUGGGUAUCGAACAGGAUUAGAUACCCGAGUAUAG
rnacentral:rRNA from 1 species